rnacentral:rRNA from 1 species
GAGUUUGAUCCUGGCUCAGGACGAACGCUGGCGGCGUGCUUAACACAUGCAAGUCGAACGGAAAGGCCCGCUUGCGGGUACUCGAGUGGCGAACGGGUGAGUAACACGUGGGCAACCUGCCCUCAGCUUUGGGAUAACUCCCGGAAACGGGUGCUAAUACCGAAUAUUGACUUCGUGCCGCAUGGUGUGUUGUUGAAAGUUUUUCGGCUGGGGAUGGGCCCGCGGCCUAUCAGCUUGUUGGUGGGGUGAUGGCCUACCAAGGCGACGACGGGUAGCCGGCCUGAGAGGGCGACCGGCCACACUGGAACUGAGACACGGUCCAGACUCCUACGGGAGGCGGCAGUGAGGAAUAUUGCGCAAUGGGCGGAAGCCUGACGCAGCGACGCCGCGUGAGGGAUGAAGGUCUUCGGAUUGUAAACCUCUUUCAGUAGGGACGAAUGUAGACGGUACCUGCAGAAGAAGCACCGGCCAACUACGUGCCAGCAGCCGCGGU